AAUGAACGCUGGCGGCAUGCCUAAUACAUGCAAGUCGAGCGACAACACAGUAAGCUUUCUCUCUUACGGUUGGCGGGGGACGGGUGGGUAACAAGUGCAUAACCAACUUCUAUUACGGGGGUAAUUACGUAAAACCGCAGCUAAUACCGGCUAAUAUAUUCAACGGGUGGGUUCAAGAGUUAAUGGGGGUUUUCCCGACCCUAUUAGACGAUGCCGGAUUAGCUAGUUGGCAGGGUAACGGCCUACCAAGGCAACGCUGCGUAGCUGAUCUGAGAGGGUGAUCAGCCACACUGGAACUGAGACACGGUCCAGACUCCUACGGGAGGCAGCAGUGGGGAAUCUUCGGCAAUGGGCGAAAGCCUGACGGAGCAACGCCGCGUGAGUGAUGAAGGUCUUCGGAUCGUAAAACUCUGUUAUUAGGGAAGAAAAGAUGUGGAAGUAACUAUGGACGUCUUGACGGUACCUAAUGAGAAAGCAACGGCUAACUACGUG
rnacentral:rRNA from 1 species